rnacentral:precursor_RNA from 12 species
CCAAAAGUAUUUGUUUCAGGACUCCCCACCACUUAAACGUGGAUUUACUUGCUUUGUUUCUAAAAAAGUAAGUGCUUCCAUGUUUUAGUGAUGGUGAAUCUUACUUUUCCAAUAAUAACUU